rnacentral:lncRNA from 1 species
CCAAAAUAUUUCUGUGUCUUUGCAGCCAAAGCAAAGAAGGCCGCAGAGAAAGAGGCAAAAGCUAAGAAGCAGAAAGGUCCAAAACCCACCAAGAAACCCAAGGCCCCAAAACCAACCAAGAAACCAAAACCACCAAAACCCACCAAGAGGCCAAAGGUCCCCAAAGCCACCAAGAGGCCGAAGACGACGACCUCAGCGCCACUGGACGAGGAGGAGAAGCUCCUGAUCGAGCUGGGCCUGAAAACAGUGACUGAACCUUCAGCCACUAAGGAGCCUGCUGUGCCGGGUCGAGGUGAGCCGACAGGUGGACACACAGACCAGAAAGAAACUACGGAGGUUAUCGUUUACAUACCAGAGGAAACGACCUCCAUUCCUUUGAAUGGCUCCUGGUAUGAAGAGUACGACUACACCGACCGUGAGUCUGUGUUCUACCAUGAUGAUUGUGGUUUACCGUCACCAGGAACAAGUUGAUCUGAUCUGAUUCUGUUCUCUGACCACAGUGGCAGUGAAGAAACAAGAAGAGGAGGAAGAAAGAGCUCAGAAAGAAAAGGAAGAAAAAGGUUUUUGUUUCACUGUGUUCUUUUAACGACCAUUUAGAUGAGAAGGUUUCUGAGAAAAAAACUUUUUUGGUUCUUGGUCACCUCCAUGUUAACUAA